GAAGCGGUGGCUCAAUGGUAGAGCUUUCGACUCCAGUUAAUAGUUGGUCAAUCGAAGGGUUGCAGGUUCAAUUCCUGUCCGUUUCA